rnacentral:rRNA from 1 species
UUCCCUUGACUCUGGGAUAAGCCCGGGAAACUGGGUCUAAUACCGGAUAUGACCUCCUGUCGCAUGGUGGGGGGUGGAAAGAUUUAUCGGUCUUGGAUGGACUCGCGGCCUAUCAGCUUGUUGGUGAGGUAAUGGCUCACCAAGGCGACGACGGGUAGCCGGCCUGAGAGGGUGACCGGCCACACUGGGACUGAGACACGGCCCAGACUCCUACGGGAGGCAGCAGUGGGGAAUAUUGCACAAUGGGCGCAAGCCUGAUGCAGCGACGCCGCGUGAGGGAUGACGGCCUUCGGGUUGUAAACCUCUUUCAGUAGGGAAGAAGCCUUCGGGUGACGGUACCUGCAGAAGAAGCGCCGGCUAACUACGUGCCAGCAGCCGCGGUAAUACGUAGGGCGCGAGCGUUAUCCGGAAUUAUUGGGCGUAAAGAGCUCGUAUGCGGUUUGUCGCGUCUGCCGUGAAAGUCCGGGGCUUAACCCCGGAUCUGCGGUGGGUACGGGCAGACUA